rnacentral:misc_RNA from 1 species
CUAAGUUCAGCGGGUCUUCCUACCUGAUCCGAGGUCAACCUUGGGUAAAUAAGGCUUUUAACGGCCGGAACCCGCAGCACUCCCAGAGCGAGAUGUAUUACUACGCUCGGUGUGACAGCGAGCCCGCCACUGUUUCAGGGCCUGCGGCAGCCGCAGGGCCCCAACACAAGCCUAGGGCUUGAUGGUUGAAAUGACGCUCG